UACAGAGGUCUCAAGCGUUGUUCGGAUUCAUUGGGCGUAAAGGGUGCGUAGGUGGCGGGGUAAGUCAGGUGUGAAAUUUCGGAGCUUAACUCCGAAACUGCAUUUGAUACUGCCUUGCUUGAGGACUGGAGAGGAGACUGGAAUUCACGGUGUAGCAGUGAAAUGCGUAGAGAUCGUGAGGAAGACCAGUGGCGAAGGCGGGUCUCUGGACAGUUCCUGACACUGGGGCACGAAGGCCAGGGGAGCAAACGGG
rnacentral:rRNA from 1 species